rnacentral:rRNA from 1 species
GACGAACGCUGGCGGCGUGCUUAACACAUGCAAGUCGAACGGAAAGGCCCUGUUUAUGUGGGGUGCUCGAGUGGCGAACGGGUGAGUAACACGUGAGUAAUCUGCCCUUGACUUUGGGAUAAUUUCAGGAAACUGGGGCUAAUACCGGAUAGGAGCUCCUGCUGCAUGGUGGGGGUUGGAAAGUUUCGGCGGUUGGGGAUGGACUCGCGGCUUAUCAGCUUGUUGGUGGGGUAGUGGCUUACCAAGGCUUUGACGGGUAGCCGGCCUGAGAGGGUGACCGGGCACAUUGGGACUGAGCUACGGCCCAGGGUCCUACGGGGGGCAGCAGUGGGGAAUGUUGCACGAUGGGCGGAAGCGAGAUGCAGCAACGCCGCGUGCGGGAUGACGAGAUUCGGGUUGUAAUCCGCUUUCGCCUGUGACGAAGCGUGAGUGGCGAUAAUGGGUAGAGAAGCGCCGGCUAACUACGUG